GCCUUCGUGGUGUAGUGGUCUGCAUGCUCGACACGUAACCGAGAGGUCCUUGGUUCGAUUCCCCGGCGAAGGCG
rfam:Stegodyphus mimosarum contig73294, whole genome shotgun sequence.